rnacentral:rRNA from 1 species
UGGGGAAUAUUGCACAAUGGAGGGAACUCUGAUGCAGCGACGCCGAGUGAACGAAGAAGGCUUUCGAGUCGUAAAGUUCUUUUAUAUGGGAAGAUAAUGACGGUACCAUAAGAAAAAGCCCCGGCUAACUACGUGCCAGCAGCCGCGGUAAUACGUAGGGGGCUAGCGUUGUCCGGAAUCACUGGGCGUAAAGGGUUCGCAGGCGGAAAUGCAAGUCAGGUGUAAAAGGCAGUAGCUUAACUACUGUAAGCAUUUGAAACUGCAUAUCUUGAGAAGAGUAGAGGUAAGUGGAAUUUUUAGUGUAGCGGUGAAAUGCGUAGAUAUUAAAAAGAAUACCGGUGGCGAAGGCGACUUACUGGGCUCAUUCUGACGCUGAGGAACGAAAGCGUGGGUAGCAAACAGG